UCCCCUCACCAUCAAAUUAUCAUUUCCCACUUCCAUCGUCCUCUCCGUCUCUCUCGCGCGUGCCCUAACAUUCCCUAGUCUCCGAAAUCCCUUUCUCUCACCUCGAUCCCUCGUCUCCCAUGGCGCCCAAGGGCGAGAAGAAGCCCGCGGAGAAGAAGCCCGCGGCCUCCGACAAGGCGGAGGAGGAGAAGGAGAAGAAGGGUUCCGGUGCGGCGGAGAAGGCCCCCGCGGCGGAGAAGAAGCCGAAGGCGGGGAAGCGGCUCCCGUCGAAGGAGGGGGGAGGCGCGGGUGCGGGUUCCGGCGACAAGAAGAAGAAGAAGAAGGCGAAGAAGGGGAGCGAGACGUACAAGAUCUACAUCUUCAAGGUGCUCAAGCAGGUCCACCCCGACAUCGGCAUCUCCAGCAAGGCCAUGAGCAUCAUGAACUCCUUCAUCAACGACAUCUUCGAGAAGCUCGCUCAGGAGGCCUCCCGCCUCGCCCGCUACAACAAGAAGCCCACCAUCACCUCCCGCGAGAUCCAGACCUCGGUCCGCCUCGUCCUCCCCGGCGAGCUCGCCAAGCACGCCGUCUCCGAGGGCACCAAGGCCGUCACCAAGUUCACCAGCUCCUAGGGAUCCGAUUGCGGUUGUCAUGUUUAACAGCUGUGGAAUUCUAGGGAGGCCAUUAUACUCUUUGGAACCAUUAAAAGAUGCUGGAGUAAUAAGAGGCAGUAGAAUACAGAGACCCAAAGUGUUUGAUUUGGUGAAUCAUGCAUCUGAAGAUUGGGCAUUAAUAAUGGCCGUGGAUGGAAGGGUACGCAUCUUGAACUUAUUCUGAGAGACUGAUUAAACUGGCAUCUUCGCAUGGUGGACAACUAUGCUCAUACUAUUGGAUAAGGCCUGAUUGAUAGUGGUUGAUUCGUAUUCUCAUAUUUUUUUGUGUUUAUCCUUGAAAAGCUUGUAGCUAUCUUCUGAAUACAUGAUGAUUCUAUAUAUUGCGUUUAUCUAUAUGUGUACAUAUGUAUUGCAUAGAACCAAUGUAUUCCUUAUUUCUUCUUGUAAGAUGACAGAUUUGGGCCUA